UAAUAAGUGUUUUAUGGCACUUUUUAAAUCCAUACCCACCUUGUGUGCAAUGUCAGUCGAUCUUCUUCAUGGAGAUCGACCAAACAUCAACCUUUAUUUUUUAACUCUUUGUCUGAAAAAUAUUAUGAAUAAACAAUUCAAAAUA
rnacentral:misc_RNA from 1 species